AACUGUCUGAAGAGGCAUUAAAGCCGAAAGCGCUAACAGUGAAAUGUUAUUCGAGUUUUGUGUUUCUUGACUUUUAUUAUUGGAUGUAUUUACUGUAUCAAAUACCGAAUUCUUUUUUACAAACUAUAUAUAUAUAUAUAUAUAUAUAUAUGAUAAAUUCCCCUGCGAAUUAUUCUUUACGUAAACUUCUAUUUUAUUAUUCUAUCAGUAGGCCCAUCCUCCCUGAAUGAAACAAAACCAUGUCGAUUUGCUUUGGUGCCGUUCCAGACAAAAAUAUACUAGUAUUGAAAUGUGGAACUGGGGGUGGAUACCUUAUGUUUCCAACGGAUAUAUCAUUAUGUAUAUUUUCCUCUUUGCUCAGAUUCUGUUAAUAUUUCGAUAAAAGAUUUCUUUUGUAUUUUCACUCAAUGCAGUCACUUAUAAAUCAUUCUCAAAAGGUAUGAACCACAUCAAAUUCCGAUCACAUGAUGGUUAAUUUUCUUCCUGAGUUUAAUCAAUGAAAAUGUUUGUUACAGGCAUUAAAAAUAAAGCUAUUUCGGAAAUUACGUCAGAUGGUCUCCCCUUCACCAGGAGGCGACGUAUUGUUUUUGUACUUUCUGUCCGUUUGUCAGUCUUCCCGUCAUAAAGUAUUGUGAACGCUUAAUUAUCCUCCUGCAUGGCUUAUCGAAGAUACUCGAAACAAUCUUUACUGACAAUACUUAAAGCACGAUACAUGUGCAGCAACCACUAACACGAGUAAAUGAUAUGCAUUUCGAAAAAUACUGACACUGGGUGUGGGAAGUGUGUCUGUCAGCUGGGGGUUCAAACUGGUAACCAUCCCCGCUAACAUCUAGUGGUUGAAUAUGUACGUAGUGUUGGACUAGAGGAUAUUGGUUUGGGGGAUAAAAUCUGGUUAUUCAACACGUAGUGUUGAAAUAGUGUAUAUCGUUUUAAAGGUGAUGGGUGAUACUGGAGGAUUUUGAACAGCAGGCAAAUCGGGAGGCUCUUCGACAGAUGAAACGUCAAGCACCUGUACUGCUAAUUUGUCUGUUUUGACGUAUCACCUUAAAAACUAAUAUGCAUAAGAAUUAUUCCAUUAAGUUAGAUUUAGAUUGAAUAUGUAGUCGAUAUCUUCACAAGAAAUUUCAAAAUGUCCCAUCCAAUCUAGAAAAACCCUUAAGAAUAAAUAAUUUCAUACAGGAGAUCAUUCCUGCAAGUUUAACAAAACUUAGAUGAAAAUGUUUUCAAACAAUUUUGGAUUUUACUUUCAGUGUCUUGGCAUUUCCAUUGUAACCAGUAGAAACCAAUAAUUUAUUUACACAAUCAUCAUAGCUUUCCUGAAAACACAAUAGGAUAGAAAAUGUUCAAAAACUUCGAAAUUAUCCUCAGUAACCCUAAUCUUUUAUUUGUAACUUUUGAAAAGAAUAUGAACCAAGGCCUGUAUGCAAUGUUCUGUUCCUGCGAAUCUGAUAAGGGAAGGAAAUGUAGCUUAAAUCUUGUAUAUUUCCAAACCCGAGACCUUGGCAUUUACCUGCAACCUUAUAAACCAAUUGAACAGGGUGUUUAUAUAAGGUAUUGAAAAAGAUACUUCAAAUGAAAGAUGUUGUUUGAAUAUUGCACACAAGGCUGAACAAUCGAAAGAACACCCGAUUGAACGGACAAGUUAUUAUAUGAAAGUUGAAGAUAACGAACAAUAGUCAAUCCUAUAAGGAACACAUAAUAAACACUUGAGCAAACAAGGAACCCAGAGGUGGGAUCAGGCGCCUAGGAGGAGAAAGUAUAUUUCUCCAAAACUCUUUUACGAGGGACUGACUACAAAUCGUACAUUUAGUCAAACUGAUGUAAAUUCCGCAAAAGCAUGAAGAAAUUCACAAGAUAAAUACAAAAUAUUAAAUUUCCUAAUGAAAUGAGCCAAUGGAAGAAUUCUGGAGUAACAUGCAAUAGUUUACGAUAUAAGUAAUGACGAAUGAAGGCAGGAACCACCUAUCAAACUGGUUCUACAUCUAGCUAACAUACAUCAUAUACCUAAUGAAUAUAUAGAUAGAUAGAUAAAGCACAUCUAUAACUCACCUCUACGAAGUUCAUCAAUGUCUAUCAGUUACAACAAUAUCAUAACUAUGAUAUGAAGAUGACAAACAGUGAUAAAUCUCAUAACUCCUAUAAGCAAUACAAAAUAGAUAGUUGGGCAAACACGGACCCCUGGAUACAUCAGAGGUGGGAUCAGGUGCAUAGGAGGAGUAAGCAUCCCCUGUCGACCGGUCACACCCGCCGUGAGACCUAUAUCUUGAUCAGGUAAACGGAGAUAUCCGUAGUCAAAAUCAGUGUGCCAAGAACGGCCUAACAAUCGGUAUGAAAUAUGUCAGACAGCAUUUGACCCAAUGAUAUGUUGUAUUGACGAAUUAGAUCGUUAUAACGACCAUAGAAUUUGCGAAUAAUGUGAUUUAUGACGUAGUUCAAAAUUGGAUUAGGAGGUUUUAAAAAAUUGGUCAAGGAGGUUCUUUUAGUUACCUUCUUGUGGGGAUUCGGGUUAGAAUAGGUCCUCAGUACCCCUUGAUUGUCAUAAGAGGCGACUAAAUGGGGCGGUACUUUGGAUGAGAUCGCAAAUCACAACAGGUGUUGCACGAUAAAGGUCCCUCCCUGCUCAAAGACCGUAAGCGCCGAGCAUUGGCCUAAAUUUUACAGCCCUUUAUCGGCUAUGGUGACGUCUCCUUAUGAGUGAAAAUUCUCGAGAGGGACGUUAAACAAUAUACAUCCAUCCAUCCAUCUUUUAAUUACCACUGAAUGCAACUUAAUUACCAGUCUGCUCCGACACCUUUAACCUCGUCAAUCACACAGGGGGGAAAGGACACACGCAGCAUCUGACGCAAGAUAUUUCUUCUUAUAACUUCGAAAUUCUAAACACUUUUAACUCACUCAGGAAAGCGGUGAAAAAUUUUAUACAAUGAGAAAAAUUCAGAAUCACGGAAAGGCUGAAUAACAAAUUAGAAUAAAAGUCAAGAGCAUAUGAUACCCCUCCUUUGAUCUCAUUCGAUUAGAAACUUGAAACAGGGAGUGUGCACCACAAAUUGUUACAAGAAAGGGGCAAUAACUGUGUACGUAGGUAUUUUCAGUAUUCCUUUGUCAUACACGUGUAUAGACAUACGUGACUGCGACUGCGAAAAAGGGCCCAGAUUCGGCAGCACGUCAUAAUGAGAAAUCGGCGAUAGAAAUCUCUAGAUGAUUGCGUCACAAUAAAAAAAAAAAACGCGAGGAAAAUUGUUGCGGUACACGUGGUUAUAUUUUUUCCUCUUUGCCUUGCAUUUGAUGUAUGUAUUACAAAAAGGCACAAAUAUUAUUUCCUAUCUUUUAUUGCUUGCAAUAUUCAAAUUGUUACGACUUCAUUUGAAUUUACCGCGAUUUCAAAGAGUAAUAACUCCAAUCUCUACCCAGAGUUAUCGUUACUUACACCUCUGUCAACGUCUCAAGGGUUUUACAAGAUUUUUGUAAAUUGGCACGUAUGCUCAAAUAAAGUAUGAUUUUGACUUCAGUUACAAAAAAAAAGUAAAUAAAUAAAUAUUGAACAGAUGUCAAGUCUUUUUGUGACACAAGAAGCAUUGAUUUGGGUUUAAAUGUGGAUAUUGGGUAGUUCUAUUGCACCAGGCCUAUACAUAGGUACAUGAAGAAUAUAUAGUAAUGGAAAAAAUCUACAAAUAGUUGCUUGUCCUACAUUUUCCCGAUAUUUUAUAAAAUAGUUAUUAGUUUUAUUAGCUGUAAAAAAAAAAAAAAAAAAAGUGGAUUUACAUGUGGAAUUACAUUGCUUAUUUUAAGACGUUAACAGAGGUGUAAGUGAGAGCAAGGAACGACAACUCUGGGUAGAGAUUGUAAUAGCCUGGUACCCGAGGCCUUCCGAUGUUCAAAGAACGAAGGCCAGACAUCGGAUGUCGAAUGGAUUCUUCCACUGAUCAAAAUCCAAUAUGGCGGACUCAAUGAUGAAUUUCCAUACAUAUGGAAAGAAGAAACACAUGAUAGUAGAUGAAAAAACACCUUCAUAUACAAUGCUUCAUGAAUAUGCAAAACCAUGCCAACAGUUACAGACUCCAGAUGGAAAAAGACAGAGAAAGAAAUUCUAAAGGGGUAUUCAAGGACCCAUCCUCCUCCAAACCAAUUCAUAUCGGAAGGAAUUAACAUCCAACUUGAAUGAAGAAUUACAGACUUCCAGAACAGACCCUUUAAAAAAGGAGAAGCCAGAUCUUCAGAAGACUUCCUUGAAAAUGAGAAUUUUUUUAGUGGAAGUGAAGAAUAUGGCAUGCAUACAAGCAGACAUCAGCAUUCCCUCCCUCUUGUUUGUAUCAGAGGUGAGCUUUUUGAGAAAGACUUAUGGAGGAAGUUUGAGAGUGUCAGUUCUCAGAUCAAGAAGUUAGCUAACAGUAGGAGGAGUAGCAAUUCAUUCCACUGUAUGGCCAGAGAAAUUUAUGACAUAAAAGACAUGAAAAAGGAGAUUUGGCAUUGUUUCAUGUGGAAAUUGAAGAAUCUUUGAAAUAUAUAACACAUACAUGUUUCAGUUACUUGGGGAUAAAACUUAUGAGGAAUUUUGCUAACUUUCAGAUGGGAAUGUGUUGCACAAGAAAUGCUUGAUCACAACCUUCUUUUAUUAGAAACCUUUUCUAUGUAAAACUUAUACGGUACCAAUUUUGAUGCACCAGAUGCGCAUUUCGACAAAUAAUGUCUCUUCAGUGAUGCUCAACCGAAAUGUUUGAAAUCCGAAAUAACUAUGAAGUUUUAGAGCUAAAUAUAGCCAAAAACAGCGUGCCAAAAAAGUGGAGCCAAAUUCGUCCAAGGAUAAGAGCUAUGCAUGAGGGAGAUAAUCCUUAAUUUUGAAAUGAAUUUCUAAAUUUUAUAACAGCAAUAAUUAUUUUAAAUAAAAUUUAGCUAUUUCAUUAGACUAGUAAACAUGUUUUCUGUGCAAGUGUGUGUCUUUGACAUUAAAUGCUAUGAUAUAUUGAAGUAUUCUUAAGCAAUGGAAGAUCUCUACUAAUUCUUUCAAAGGAAAGCCAACAACAGGAAUCGAACCUGUUCCUCUAUCGUACAGAUACGAAAGUGUGCACCAGUACACCAUCUUGGCAUAUAUUAAGAACUAGUAGCCUUGGAGAGUAAAUAUUGUAUUAUUCUUGUACAGUUGAUACUGGUUGGUGUGAUAUAUAUAUAUAUAUAUGUAUAUAUAUAUAUAUAAUAUACAUACAGCUUAGUAUAUAUAAUGUAUGUCUCAUGUUUGCUAGUCAUCAAUAAAGCAUUUGAAUUGAA